ensembl:lncRNA
AGCUGCAUCUCUAUAACUGAUAUUUGUUUAUUUUACCUCUCUUUUUGUAAAAUGUCUAGUCAGACUCUUUUUUUCUUUUUACUGAUGAUUAUACUUCAUCCACCUUGACCUUUGAUACAAGGUAGGCAUUACAGUUUUAAAAAAUAAGUAAGUACAUAGUUUUCUUUUAUGUCACCCACAGUUGUUAAAUUCUAUCACAAACCUUUUAUUGUGUGAUAAAAAUUAAUUUUGAGAACAAUGAACUACUUGGAGGAUGAAGUCCACUUGGAGUUCUUUCUAUUCUACAGAACUGUCGUUCUAUCUGGAAAUUCUAGUUUCUUACAAUCUUGCUUUCAGGCUUUAUUUUGCUCACAGAUUUUAGUUAACAUAUAAAAAAAGAAGAAGUAAUAAAGAACUGAAGAAAAAUAGAAGAUUUAUAAUAUUAAGGUGAUGCACUCUUGAGUCCUUACCAGCAGUGAAUGGCACUUCCUUUUGCUACCCAUUUUCUUCAAGGAUGGAUUUGGCAAUGCUCUGGAUUUUCACCAUUUUAGUUAGCAAUUCUAAUCAUCUGGAAAGAGAUCAAAUAACAGAGAAAUGAAUAAAUUUUCAAAAGAGGAAACUUAUAGUCAUGAAAUAAUGGAUAAUUCAUGAGUUAACAUCUUAUUUUUAAAUCUAGAGGAAGAUCAAUUUAAAUUCUCCCAAAUAAUAUUUAAGGUCUUAUGAACAACAACAUGUAGAAGAGCUGAGGUCAUGAUAGAUGAGGAGACUGUAUACAAAUGGGCUGGACCGGAAUGGAAAACAGCAGUACUUCACCUGUAUUAAAGGCAAGAUUGUCUCACACAUCAUUCGGCUCUCAGCAUGGAAAUAUCUGAGGAAGUACCAGGAGGAUGAUUUGCCUUCUCCAGGAAAGAAUGAAUAGAAGCUUAAGGGCCAGUGACAAGCUGCAUGCUAGGAGAACCCAAGGUGUGACAAACCCUGUCAACCACGUGACACACUACUUCAGGGCUGUCAGCUCACCUUCAAUGCACUAUUAAAGGAUUAAACACAUCAAAUCCUCAUGCAAAUUCCAGCUGUGUACCAAAACCCAGAAGAAAGACCCAGAAACAUUAUGGUAAAUGGUACUCAUUGAAGAAGUUAACUGCUACAAGUUUUCUUACCUUUUUUCUUCUUAAAUUCUUGUUUAGCCUCCUUGAAAAAUAAAUACAUUUGCAGAGUUGAGUUUUGAUAUAUUUCCCUAUGCAAUUUGUAGCCUACUUUGACAAGCUGUCUUUAGGUUGUGCUGGGAUGCUCUAAGAAAUUCAGCUGAAUGCAUUUAGAAUCAGCUUAGAAACCUGUUGAGCC